rnacentral:lncRNA from 1 species
GGAAGAGGGUCAAGAAGUUCAGUACUUCCUAUUGAGUUCUAGCCAUUAAUCAUAUAUAUAUAUAUAUUCCCUUAUGUUUAUUUUCCUUUUGUGCUUCUCUUCUUUGCUUGGGAUGUAAGGGAAACAAAAGUGUGCUAGGUGAUUUUAGUUUUGAUUUUAUUAUACAAUAUGAGAGAGUUAGUCAUAUUGGGUACUGCUAAAAUAUUGGCAUGGCUGCAAAAAUCAUUGCUAAAAGCACUAGAGAGGCUAGAGAUGACUUUUUCCUCUGUUUUUCUGCGUUCUACUCUUCAUGAAUGAAAAUGAUUGUGCUUUAACUAUGAUUCUAAAUUUGAGGGACCCUUCUUUUGCAACAGUUGCUAACAAUGAGUAAAUUGAUUAUAGAUUAGAGGUGUCCCUGGGGACUUACCACCAAGUUUACCUCUCUUUUUUUUUUCUUGGAGCAAUUACUAGUAUGUUGGUGCUGGUGAAUGAAUAACAAAAG